CUAACACAUGCAAGUCGAACGGUAACAGGUCUUCGGAUGCUGACGAGUGGCGCACGGGUGAGUAACGCGUGGAUAUCUGCCUAUUAGUGGGGGACAACUUGUGGAAACGCAAGCUAAUACCGCAUAAUCCCUACGGGGGAAAGCAGGGGACCUUCGGGCCUUGUGCUGAUAGAUGAGUCCGCGUCUGAUUAGCUAGUUGGUAGGGUAAAGGCCUACCAAGGCGAUGAUCAGUAUCUGGUUUGAGAGGAUGAUCAGACACACUGGAACUGAGACACGGUCCAGACUUCUACGGAAGGCAGCAGUGGGGAAUAUUGCACAAUGGGCGCAAGCCUGAUGCAGCGACGCCGCGUGUGGGAAGAAGGCUUUAGGGUUGUAAACCACUUUCAAUUGGGAAGAAGAGAUGAGUGUUAAUAACAUUCUGAUUUGACGGUACCUUUAGAAGAAGCACCGGCUAAUUUCGUGCCAGCAGCCGCGGUAAUACGAAAGGUGCAAGCGUUGUUCGGAUUUACUGGGCGUAAAGAGGGGUGUAGGGUUGUUUAUUAAGUCGGAUGUGAAAUCCC
rnacentral:rRNA from 1 species